UCAAAUCUCGCGGGAUUUGCCUGGCACUAUAUAAACUCCCUGCAGGCACGCAGACGGCCUUUUCCGUCUCUUAGAGGCUUUGAAAGGGGGCACUGACAUGACUGUGUAAUGAAAACUCAAGCACCUGGCAAAAUAAAUAAAUAAAAGAAGAGAGAGAGAGACCCAACAUUUAAAGCAUGGAGGAGUUUUCACAACACAAGAUGUAAUGAAUGCUUUGUACUUAACUUGUACCUGAUGUUACUCCAGUUAGCUCUUCUUCCAUUCCUCACUAUUGUGCAUUUCAUGUAACUUGGCAGGUGGGCUGCCACUGCACACUUGUGUGUGUGUGUGUGUGUGUGUGUGUGUGUGUGUGUGUGUGUGUGUGUGUGUGUGUGUGUGUGUGAGACAUGACCCAGGGCAACCAUGCAUCGUCAGUCUAGCUGAAUAUUUAAACAAUGGGAAGUUAUUCUUCCUCUUCCCCAGCUUUGAUAUUUCUCAAAAGUUUGUGUUUAUAUCAAUGAGCCAGUACCUUUUGGGCAGAAAAUAGGCACAUACAUUAGGAUGGUUAUUUUCCUCUAUAGAGGCAAGAACUCAACAUUUAUAAUUUAAUAAUAUUCCAAAACUGGGGUUUUCAAGCUGCUAAUAGCUAUGAGGUUGUUUCUGCUUGGAUAAAUAAGUAAGAGGUAGAAUAGGCUUCAAUCAAUAGGACCGGGCUGUGGCACAGCUAGUUAGUAGCCAGCUGCAUUAAAUCACUACUGACCGAGAGGUCAUGGGUUUGAAGCCAGCCUGGGUUGGAGUGAGGUUCCAACCAUAAAUAGUCUAGCUUGCUGUUGACCUAUGCAGCCUGAAAGAUAGUUGCAUCUGUCAAGUAGGAAUUUUAGGUACUGCUUUAUGCGGGGAGGCUAAUUUAACUAAUUUACGACACCAUAAAACCUUCCAGCAGUGUGAGUAAGAAUGAGGAAGUACUCAAUCACUGACAGAGUGUCACAAGUAGACAGUGAAGCAGCAGCUCCCCUGUAGCUGGAAUUGAGCAUACCCUCAUGAAGCCGGAAAGCUGGAUGUUAAAUUGCCUCUGUGUUUGUCUAUAUAUGUUGUAUGUCUAUGGCAUUAAAUGUUUGCCAUGUAUAUGUGCAUUGUAAUGCGCCCUGAGUCCCCUGUGGGGUGAGAAGGGUGGAAUAUACUGUAAAUAAAUAAAUCAAUUUUGGCUGCAAUUAUAGUGAACCUUUGUAAGAGAUUCAUUUGAGCCUUUGACUAAAAUAAUAUGCUGUCACUGAAAUCUGUUUCAGGGACUGAUCUGAAGCUGGCCACUUAUAGUAAAGUGCAGUGGGGUUAUAAGAUUGUCCUUGUUCAGAUGCAAAACUCUGAAGGAGAAGUUGGUAGUAUUCUUGGAGCCAUGCUGCUUGAGAUGGGGAGCAGCUUUACAGAAGCCCAAGAUCUGCCUUAGAGCCAUGCCUAUGAUAAUAGUAGUGGAUAGUUGGGAUCAAGCGAGGUCAGUGUGUAACUCUUGGCACUGUUCACAUACUCUUCUGAAGAUUAAAUAUCCUCAGCUCACAGAACACAAGUUUAGGAAACCUAGCUACAAUAUGUUUCCAUGGAAACUACUUUUUAGAUUUCCUUGGAAUUUUGAGCCACAAAGUAAUUUAUCCAAAAUAACUUCCAUCAAAAGCUCUUAGUAAGCACAAAGACUUAUGAUCAUGGGCUUUGUAUGAGAUGUAAACAUUAUUUGAACUUGAUGGAUCAACUGUUGUUUUGUACAAGAUGGGAAGGUGGUAUUGGAGUAUAAUCAGAGGAUGAUACCGAGGCUUUGUUUCAUUAUGUUAGCAUUGAUUUCCAUUUGUAAAAUAAAUGAUUAAAAAAGCAA